rnacentral:rRNA from 1 species
UAGGGAAUCUUCCGCAAUGGGCGAAAGCCUGACGGAGCAACGCCGCGUGAGUGAUGAAGGUCUUCGGAUCGUAAAACUCUGUUAUUAGGGAAGAACAAAUGUGUAAGUAACUAUGCACGUCUUGACGGUACCUAAUCAGAAAGCCACGGCUAACUACGUGCCAGCAGCCGCGGUAAUACGUAGGUGGCAAGCGUUAUCCGGAAUUAUUGGGCGUAAAGCGCGCGUAGGCGGUUUUUUAAGUCUGAUGUGAAAGCCCACGGCUCAACCGUGGAGGGUCAUUGGAAGCUGGAAAACUUGAGUGCAGAAGAGGAGAGUGGAAUUCCAUGUGUAGCGGUGAAAUUCGCAGAGGUAUGGAGGAACACCAGUGGCGAAGGCGGCUUUCUGGUCUGUAACUGACGCUGAUGUGCGAAAGCGUGGGGAUCAAACAGG